rnacentral:rRNA from 2 species
UACGAAGGGGGCUAGCGUUGCUCGGAAUCACUGGGCGUAAAGGGCGCGUAGGCGGCCAUUCAAGUCGGGGGUGAAAGCCUGUGGCUCAACCACAGAAUUGCCUUCGAUACUGUUUGGCUUGAGACCGGAAGAGGUAAGUGGAACUGCGAGUGUAGAGGUGAAAUUCGUAGAUAUUCGCAAGAACACCAGUGGCGAAGGCGGCUUACUGGUCCGGUUCUGACGCUGAGGCGCGAAAGCGUGGGGAGCAAACAGG